rnacentral:lncRNA from 1 species
CGAUCCUGCCUCACUAAAAUUCAAAUAUCUCAAAAUAUAUAACUCUUUUACUUGCUCUGUUUCUUUUAUGUAAAAAUAGACUCAUUAAAAUUUCAUUUAAUAUCUUAUUCACUCUCUAAUUAAAUUUCCACAAUUUAUGGUUAUUUUUCAAAGUUAACCUACUGCAGCUGUCCAAAACUGUUUUAGUGGAAGAUGUUGAUAAUCAAAUUUAUAACACCCUCCUUUCCUUUCUCUACAAUAUUUUCUAUCAAUUCUUCUUGUUUCCCUUCACUAACAUAUCAAGAACAUAGAACCUUAUAUAAUAAAUCCCUACAUUAACAUCAAUUCCC